UCGCGCCCCGGCCGGGGCCCGCCGGACCCUGGGCAGCAGUGGGCGCUGGGGGCUCUGCCCUGUCACCGCCGCCCCCGGGCUUUCUCCGGCGCCCCGCGGCCCUGGCCGCAGCCAGGCUAGGGCCAGGCCGGGCCAGCCGGGGCCGCGCGUGGCGGGUCGAUCAGCCCGGGGCCGCUGGGUCGGCAGGCGGCGGAGCGAGAGUGACCUGUCAGACACCCGCGGCCCAGGGGGAGCCGCUCCCGCGGGCAUUGGUACCCCACCGCCGGGGUUAACGGCAUUGCCGGGGGGGGUCACAGCCCCGAGCAACAGCCUUGUACUGACAGCUGGGAGCCUCGCGGGUCGAGCUGGCCCCGAACUAAGCAAGUGCCACAGCUCGUGUCCGAGUGAAGCUGGAGACACCUGAAAGCACCAAAAGCGGGGCAGGGUUGUUCCCCCCCCCCCCCCCCCAAUCUUUACCCAUUCUGGCACUGACCCAAAGAAAUGUUCCAGUUAACAAAAUGCAUGUUAGACUAGUUUCGCUUCAAAGAUGAAUUCUGUGUACACUGUGGACAACACCUGGUUCCUGUAAGGCUGCAGAACUGGCCUGACAUCGGAAUCCAAAUAUCCUCUGUGCAAAUUUUUCAAGCCUCCCUCCUCCGUCCCGAAGGCUAUCUCAGAUAAGGCGGCAAAAAAAACGGACGCGAGACAAAAUGUUCUCUGAGAUCAUGGAAUCGAGCUGCAAUGAAAGAGCUCCCCUGAAUGAGUAGAAGGACACGGUGUCACAGUACAGGAAAGCUGCCAGUGAACGUGAGGAGAGGAGGGACGAGCAUGAGGAGAGGUGGCGGGAUGCAAUGCUGGGGCUGCUGCGGGAUCAAAUGGACAUGCUCCGGCAUCUGGUGGAGCUUCAGGAAUGGCAGCAGGAUCACAGAGUACCGCUGCAGCCCCUGUAUAACUGCCCUCCCCCAUCCCCAAGUUCCAUAGCCUCCUCACCCCGAUGUAUAAGAAAGCGGGUGGGGGGAGGCUCUGGGCACCCUGCCACUCCACCCCAAUGGACAGCCCAAGCAAAAGGCUGUCAUUAUUUUGAACUUUUGAAGUGGCCUUUUCCUUCCCUCCUCCCCUCCUCCCAAACUCCACCUGGGCUACCUUGUCAGUUCUCUCCCUAUGUUUAUA